ACUCCUCUGUGGCUCUGGAAGAGCCCGAUUUCCUCAGGAGGCAUGUCGGGCCCCAGGCCUGUGGUGCUGAGCGGGCCUUCGGGAGCUGGGAAGAGCACCCUGCUGAAGAGGCUGCUCCAGGAGCACAGCGGCAUCUUUGGCUUCAGCGUGUCCCAUACCACGAGGAACCCGAGGCCCGGCGAGGAGAACGGCAAAGGGAGGUGAUGCAGCGUGACAUAGCAGCCGGCGACUUCAUCGAGCAUGCCGAGUUCUCGGGGAACCUGUAUGGCACGAGCAAGGUGGCGGUGCAGGCCGUGCAGGCCAUGAACCGCAUC
rnacentral:lncRNA from 1 species